GGGGACUUAGCUCAGCGGUAGAGCGCUUGCCUAGGAAGCGCAAGGCCCUGGGUUCGAUCCCCAGCUCCG
rfam:Rattus norvegicus chromosome 4, whole genome shotgun sequence.